UACGGGGGGUGCGAGCGUUGUCCGGAAUUACUGGGCGUAAAGCGCACGUAGGCGGAUCGAUCAGUCAGGGGUGAAAUCCCAGGGCUCAACCCUGGAACUGCCUUUGAUACUGUCGAUCUGGAGUAUGGAAGAGGUGAGUGGAAUUCCGAGUGUAGAGGUGAAAUUCGUAGAUAUUCGGAGGAACACCAGUGGCGAAGGCGGCUCACUGGUCCAUUACUGACGCUGAGGUGCGAAAGCGUGGGGAGCAAACAGG
rnacentral:rRNA from 1 species